rnacentral:rRNA from 1 species
GAGGAUGCGAGCGUUAUCCGGAUUUAUUGGGUUUAAAGGGUGCGUAGGCGGCGUGUUAAGUCAGCGGUAAAAGCCCGGGGCUCAACCCCGGCGAGCCGUUGAAACUGGCAUGCUGGAGACGGCGAGAGGUACGCGGAAUGCGCGGUGUAGCGGUGAAAUGCAUAGAUAUCGCGCAGAACCCCGAUUGCGAAGGCAGCGUACCGGCGCCGGACUGACGCUGAGGCACGAAAGCGUGGGUAUCGAA